rnacentral:lncRNA from 1 species
CAGAAAAUGCUUUGCAUUCAGAUAACUUUUACCGAGAUCUCUUUGUACAAAGUAAUAUUUUGCGGUUAAAGGCGUGGUAGCCUAAACAAUUGACUUGCCCAGACAGAUCUCUCAUUCCCAUUCUGCCCGUGGUCCGGAGAUUUGUCUUUGUACUUGCUUUAAUCGUCCAUAUAAAAUCAUACAUCGUAUAGACUUUCACCUUCCAAGCCCAGUAGUCGCCAGUCUGUUGUAGGGCUUCCUUGAGCUAGCUCAGGCAUCCCUUUCUUGGAAUCCUCACAGCUAGAGUUACAAUCCGCGGACAAUCAGCAGAUUUUGGGGUGAUUUAUCUUGUUGUUUAGUUAUCAGGCAAGGAGCAGGAUGACUACUUCAGGUCUAUCUUUACUGCAGAUCUCGAGUGUGCUGCAGACCCAGUGAUACAGCCCUACCGAUUAUGAUAACGUGUAAGAUGUUGGGCCAGCGGCUUCACAUGCCUUAUUGUCUACAACACAUGUCCGUCCUCUGUAGACGGCCAUACGUUGGGCUUGCAAAGCGCAAUCUCAACAGCUCCAGAUGCAUCGAUGGCAGGACUCCACCUCCUUUGGGCCGUCAAUCCCAUAGG